CACAGACAACUGCAGAGCUGGAGGACUUUGCUCCACCUAUAAAAGCAGAUAUCAAGGCACUAAUGACAGAAAUCAAUGCGGAUAUGGCAGUAUCUAAGCAAACUAAUAAGGUGCAGGCAGUAAAGGAAAGCAUGGAAGGCACCAAGCUAGCACAAUCGGCUACUGAUGCUGCUAUAGGAGCGCUACAGAAACCAAGCGUAGAGCAACAGGCACAGAUAGCCACCAUGGAGGACAGGGCCAGAGCACAACUUGAGA